GGCUCAGAUUGAACGCUGGCGGCAUGCUUUACACAUGCAAGUCGAACGGUAGAGGGGGCAACCCUUGAGAGUGGCGAACGGGUGAGUAAUAUAUCGGAACGUGCCCAGUCGUGGGGGAUAACGUAGCGAAAGUUACGCUAAUACCGCAUACGAUCUAAGGAUGAAAGCGGGGGACUCGCAAGAGCCUCGCGCGAUUGGAGCGGCCGAUAUCAGAUUAGGUAGUUGGUGGGGUAAAGGCUCACCAAGCCAACGAUCUGUAGCUGGUCUGAGAGGACGACCAGCCACACUGGGACUGAGACACGGCCCAGACUCCUACGGGAGGCAGCAGUGGGGAAUUUUGGACAAUGGGGCGCAAGCCUGAUCCAGCAAUGCCGCGUGCAGGAUGAAGGCCUUCGGGUUGUAAACUGCUUUUGUACGGAACGAAACGGUGAGCUCUAAUACAGUUUGCUAAUGACGGUACCGUAAGAAUAAGCACCGGCUAACUACGUG
rnacentral:rRNA from 1 species